CAUUCUUUCUGAUUCAGUGGAAGGCAAGGAGAAACUGAAGAAGAUAGUGAGUAGAACUCCUUGACACAGCAAUACAGAUUUGAAGCAACCAUUGAAAGGAAGAAGGGGAUGAACUGAUCCAAGAUUACUACAAAGGAUUAACCUGGGAAGUUGAAUGUCUAACUGAGGUUUUAAAAAGGUGAACAGUACACAUCAAGGACUCUGUCAUUCCAACUACAGAUUCAGAGAAGGGAGAAGUAGGUUGCCCCUGGGACACCCGGUCUGGAGGACAUCAUCUAUUCAAGCAAUGAGACACACCAAGACGACAUAGGGGUAAUAUUGAGAGGGCAUGAGAAGCUAAAUGAAAGCUUUAUGGUCAGAAGCUAAACAAGACUAGAAUGAAUCUCCAGACUCCAGUCCAGUGCUUUUCCUACAAUAACCAC
rnacentral:lncRNA from 1 species